UCUUAUGGAUAAGCAAAGAAAGUAGUCUGUUGAGAUCAAAUCUACUCCUGGUGAAGAUGCUAUGAA
rnacentral:pre_miRNA from 1 species